UACAGAGGGUGCAAGCGUUAUUCGGAUUUAUUGGGCGUAAAGAGCGCGUAGGUGGUUCGAUAAGUCUGGUGUGAAAGCCCUGGACUCAAUCCAGGAAGUGCAUUGGAUACUGUCGGACUAGAGUAUGGGAGAGGAGAGCGGAAUUCCAGGUGUAGAGGUGAAAUUCGUAGAUAUCUGGAGGAACAACAGUAGCGAAGGCGGCUCUCUGGACCAUUACUGACACUGAGGAGCGAAAGCGUGGGGAGCAAACAGG
rnacentral:rRNA from 1 species